UAACUUCAUUUGGAAAGUUGCCGAACGUUUCUUUGUGAACCACUCAACACCAUCAAUGGCUGUGAAUAGAGCUGGACGUUGUGCUGUUGGCGGUUGUCAACCCGGAACGCCUGACUGGUCGUCACUUCAUGGACUACAUCCCACCAACGGAGGAAAAAGUCAGCACCUACAAUGUGCUGAUGUGAGUGGUUUGUUGCUCGAAGCGAGAUGACCGUGGAUAGAAAAUCACAAAGGAAACCAG